GAUGAACGCUGGCGGCGUGCCUAAUACAUGCAAGUCGAACGAGGCCCUUUGUAUUCGUACGAAGGUGUCCUAGUGGCGAACGGGUGAGUAACACGUAGGUGACCUGCCCCGAAGAGGGGAACAACCCCGGGAAACCGGGACUAAUACCCCAUAAACCUCCAGGGAGUUAGAGGACCCUGGAGAAAAGGAGCAAUCCGCUUCGGGAGGGGCCUGCGGCCCAUCAGCUAGUUGGUAGGGUAAUGGCCUACCAAGGCGACGACGGGUAGGGGACCUGAGAGGGUGGCCCCCCACACUGGCACUGAAACACGGGCCAGACACCUACGGGUGGCAGCAGUAGGGAAUAUUGCCCAAUGGACGAAAGUCUGAGGCAGCAACGCCGCGUGCGCGAUGAAGGCCUUCGGGUUGUAAAGCGCUUUUCUGGGGGAAGAGGAAGGACGGUACCCCAGGAAUAAGUCUCGGCUAACUACGUG
rnacentral:rRNA from 1 species